ACAGGAUCGUGUCACGUAGCUGUUAGCAGUGGUGAGAAUCGGUGUCCUGUCACAAUCAGGGUUACGUUGUGUGAUGGUAGAAUUUUUAGUGUGGUUUUUUCUCGUGGAAUUUACGAAUCGCAUUUCUUUCCCAGGAUGCGGGUCUGGAGUUUAACGGGGAACUCGGAAGCGCGUGGUAGGUUUUUUUUGUGUGUGUGUGUGUGUUUUUCUUUCUUUGCCAUUACUGCCUUGUGUCGUGUAGGCCUGUUCGUAUGUAGUGAUGGAGCUUCGUGAUUCACUGCAGUGAUUUGAUUCGCUGAUUCGUCACUCAAACGACUCUUUUAAGUGAACCGAGCACGACUUUACAAUUCUUAUUUGGCGCAGAUUGUCAUUUAUAUCAAAGUUAAUCAACAUAAAGAGAAAGAAAAAUAUUAUAGCAGUAACAAUCCGUUAGGUUAUGCUGAGUGAUGUUGAGUACUCGGCUAGCUAGUUACAAUCACCACAAGAAGUUUUUGCUAGCUAGCUAAUUUGGCCUUUUCCUGAGAAAUAUCGAAACAAACAUCCAUAUUAAGUUGAGCAUAAGUUAACGUACUUUAGCACAUUGAUCCUGCUUCAGUUUUCAAUUUUAUAAUUGUAACUAAACUAGCUAGGAAAUGGAAAACACAGGCAGCGAAUGGUUAGCUAGCAAAGUACGUGGACAUUAACACUGUAACUUGCUGCUAGCUGGCUAACUCUUCUAAGCAAAGCCUCCUCUUGGUAAAUGUCAGAACAAACUUAGCUAGCUAGCUAAAUUUACCACAGGAGAUUACUGCUAGCUAAUUUGAGAAAGGUUUUUGCUAGCUAGCUAAUCUGAGAAAUGGAUAACACAUGCAGCAAGUUGUUAUCUAGCAAAGUUCCAUUGACGUGGAAAUUAAUGCAGGAGCUUGCCGCUAACUGGCUAACUCUUCUAAGCAAAGCCUUCUCCUGGUAAACGUCAGGACGUUAACUAGCUAGCUAAAUUUACCACAGGAGAUUACUGCUAGCUGUCUAAUUUAGCUAACUCUGAGCCUCCUAAUGGCAGAAAGUCAGAACAAAGUUCCACAUUAUGCUAUGACAGGCCGUGCUGAACGGCUCCUGAACUUUCUGAUUUUGCUCAAUAAGAGCGUCAACAUGGGCGGAAAAGCUAAAUGUGAUUAGCCGAUAGAAAUCUUGAUUACAUGACAUCACCACGAUCGUUUAUCCAACGCGCUAGCAAACCUGCUUGGCUAGUUAGCCUUAACCAUUCUGAUUCAGAUGAUUAAAAUUGAUUCACCUGAUUCACUUAAACGAUUCGUUUGAAUAGAGCGAAUCCUUUUUGGUGAAUGGCCCCUUACCGUUAGUCAGAAGGAAGACUUUAGCAUUAGUAGAUGCAGUACCGUACAUCGUGAUUGGUUGAGACUGGUUAGGCUGUCGUGUUAGGUGUUGCUGUAUUUUGGUAGAGUGUUUCCAUCCUGAGCAUUCUGGCGUGCUGAUGAUUUAUUAACCGUUCGUGACAUUUCAUAGCGAGGGCCUGAUGACGACGUGACACUGUUGAUUAUUUUUAUUUGCUACUGUGUCAUUCCCCUGUGUCUUAUUCGGAGCAUGGAUUUCUAUUUCGAUGCGUUAGCAUUACACGUGUACACUCGAUGUAUUAUAAUAUGAAUAAUGUACGUUUUCCAUAUGCGAUAUGACAAAUGAUUCGUUGUGCGACUAGGCAUGUGCCGAUAAUCGGUUCAGUCGUGAUCAAUUUCGGAUUGGAGGCGGCCUGCGUAGGCAACGGUGUACGUAAUGUCGCGCUAGCAAACUUGUUUAGACAAAAUAAAAGAUAGCAAACGUCACACUUGGUUUUAAUUACACAGUAAAGAAGUCUAGCUAACGUUAGCUAGCUUGUCCUUGAACCUGGCUAGCUAUGUGGCUAUGUUGCGUUUAAAUACACGGUGGACAAAUUUCGUGAUAAAUGUUAGCUAGUUUUGACGAUAGCGAAACGUUGAUUAUCAGCACGUGCCUAGCGGUGACAUAGCUAAUAUGCUGCAUUAAAGGGACAUUGCCUUCUUUUUAAACAAUGACCAAACGAUUAAAAGAAAAAAAAAAAAGGAACCGCAAGUGGGAUUUUUACCCGUCGUCCCUCGACAUGACGAGGAGAUUAUUGUUUUGUUUUGUUUUGUUUUUUCAUUUCAACCGCAGGAGACGACGGGAUUCACGGUUCUCGUUUCUCAUUUCUCAUCGCGAGAGUCAGAUCCAAACGAAGUGCCUCCUUUUUAACCGUGCAGUCCGGGUAGUGCCCACGUCAAGGUUUGCACUUUGUGUGUCACUUCUGUCCAUUGUCUGUGUGCGUGACACACACUUACACACUCAUACACACACACACACAUACGCACAUGUGAUUUAAAGAGAGGUGUCAUACUACGCUGAUUGCAUGUGAAGCCGAACCUGUCAAAGUCCUGAAUAAAACCUGUGCUGGCCUGAA
ensembl:lncRNA